AUUGAACGCUGGCGGCAGGCUUAACACAUGCAAGUCGAACGAGCGGCGGACGGGUGAGUAAUGUAUGGGGAUCUGCCCGAUAGAGGGGGAUAACUACUGGAAACGGUGGCUAAUACCGCAUACUAUCGGAUGAACCCAUAUGGGAUUAGCAAGUAGGUGGGGUAAAGGCUCACCUAGGCGACGAUCUUUAGCGGGUCUGAGAGGAUGAUCAGCCACACUGGGACUGAGACACAGCCCAGACUCCUGCGGGAGGCAGCAGUGGGGAAUAUUGAGCAAUGGGCGCGAGCAUGAUGCAGCCAUGCCGCGUGUGUGAAGAAGGCCUUCGGGUUGUAAAGCACUUUCAGCGAGGAGGCGUUACUCGCAAGAGAAGCACCGGCUAACUCCGUGCCAGCAGCCGCGGUAAUUC
rnacentral:rRNA from 1 species